AGUGAACGCUGGCGGUAGGCCUAACACAUGCAAGUCGAACGGCAGCACAGUAAGAGCUUGCUCUUACGGGUGGCGAGUGGCGGACGGGUGAGGAAUACAUCGGAAUCUACUUUUUCGUGGGGGAUAACGUAGGGAAACUUACGCUAAUACCGCAUACGACCUACGGGUGAAAGCAGGGGAUCUUCGGACCUUGCGCGAUUGAAUGAGCCGAUGUCGGAUUAGCUAGUUGGCGGGGUAAAGGCCCACCAAGGCGACGAUCCGUAGCUGGUCUGAGAGGAUGAUCAGCCACACUGGAACUGAGACACGGUCCAGACUCCUACGGGAGGCAGCAGUGGGGAAUAUUGGACAAUGGGCGCAAGCCUGAUCCAGCCAUACCGCGUGAGUGAAGAAGGCCUUCGGGUUGUAAAGCCCUUUUGUUGGGAAAGAAAAGCAGCAGGUUAAUACCCCGCUGUUCUUACGGUACCCAAAGAAUAAGCACCGGCUAACUUCGUG
rnacentral:rRNA from 1 species